rnacentral:sRNA from 1 species
ACCUGUCGCGGGCGAGCGAGAGACGCCCGCGGCACCAGACAGAACACCGUGCCACGGAACAAACGGGGCACUUCAGGGCGUU